rnacentral:rRNA from 1 species
GACGAACGCUGGCGUCGUGCUUAACACAUGCAAGUCGAACGGAAAGGCCCUGCUUUUGUGGGGUGCUCGAGUGGCGAACGGGUGAGUAACACGUGAGUAACCUGCCCUUGACUUUGGGAUAACUUCAGGAAACUGGGGCUAAUACCGGAUAGGAGCUCCUGCUGCAUGGUGGGGGUUGGAAAGUUUCGGCGGUUGGGGAUGGACUCGCGGCUUAUCAGCUUGUUGGUGGGGUAGUGGCUUACCAAGGCUUUGACGGGUAGCCGGCCUGAGAGAGUGACCGGCCACAUUGGGACUGAGAUACGGCCCAGACUCCUACGGGAGGCAGCAGUGGGGAAUAUUGCACAAUGGGCGGAAGCCUGAUGCAGCAACGCCGCGUGCGGGAUGACGGCCUUCGGGUUGUAAACCGCUUUCGCCUGUGACGAAGCGUGAGUGACGGUAAUGGGUAAAGAAGCACCGGCUAACUACGUG